UACGUAGGUGGCAAGCGUUAUCCGGAUUUACUGGGUGUAAAGGGCGUGUAGGCGGGAAAGCAAGUCAGAUGUGAAAACCACGGGCUCAACCUGUGGCCUGCAUUUGAAACUGGUUUUCUUGAGUACUGGAGAGGCAGACGGAAUUCCUCGUGUAGCGGUGAAAUGCGUAGAUAUGAGGAGGAACACCAGUGGCGAAGGCGGUCUGCUGGACAGCAACUGACGCUGAGGCGCGAAAGCGUGGGGAGCAAACAGG
rnacentral:rRNA from 1 species